rnacentral:rRNA from 1 species
UAGGGAAUUGUUCGCAAUGGGCGCAAGCCUGACGACGCAACGCCGCGUGGAGGAUGAAGAUCUUCGGGUCGUAAACUCCUUUCGAUUGGGACGAACUUCUUGGGGGUGAAUAGCCUCUGAGGUUGACGGUACCGAGAGAAGAAGCCCCGGCUAACUCCGUGCCAGCAGCCGCGGUAAUACGGGGGGGGCAAGCGUUGUUCGGAAUUACUGGGCGUAAAGGGCUCGUAGGCGGCCAACUAAGUCGGACGUGAAAUCCCUCGGCUUAACCGGGGAACUGCGUCCGAUACUGGAUGGCUUGAGAUUGGGAGAGGGAUGCGGAAUUCCAGGUGUAGCGGUGAAAUGCGUAGAUAUCUGGAGGAACACCGGUGGCGAAGGCGGCAUCCUGGACCAACACUGACGCUGAGGAGCGAAAGCCAGGGGAGCAAACGGGAUUAGAUACCCCCGUAGUCC